UAUGGACCAGAGCUUUUCCAGGAGACCUAACGGCUCAAACAGCAAGUCGUAGGAGAAGCCACAAUGCCUCAACUCCUCAACAUCUGCUUUCUCUUUCUCCACGUCUCUAUUUAUGCUGGCAACUUUCCCUGGGCAGAAGGACACAGCUGGCACCCUCUUGGUUUGCCUGCUGUCACAGCAGGUCUGUGUGAUGCUGCCCCUGCCUGCUCACCUGUCAGCUCUCCAGUGUGCGCCACAGUUUUUUAGCAUAGUUCCUCGGGCAGAAGCAUUUUGCUUUUCCUCUGCUAUAAGUGAUCUCUUAUGAGCUCCAGUCCCAAUCUUCUAAGAAAAUUUCCGCAUGGUGUUUUGCACCUGUUAUUGCCUUUAUAAACUAUCAAACUAUUUUUGCUGCACAUGGUUAGGAUCGAGUAAGACACAACUAUGGGCCAAUGGUUUGUGUUUUGAGUGACAUCAUAGUUGCUGUAUAACUCAUCAACAACGUCUACUCUGACUUUAGUUUGGCUGUGGAAAGCUCCCAGCCUCUCCCUGAUCACUAACACCAAACUAGUUAAAGGACUUAAGUUUUCUGAUACAGGAAACCUGAGUGGAAGAGUAAGCAAAAGUGAAUGGGAGCUUUCUUAAGGAAGAAAGGAGGAGGAGAAGAAGAAGAAAAAAACUACUAGAGUCCUUCUCUGUUUGAAUCCAUAGCUGCAGGAAGAGAAAGGAUGAGGAAAAGAAGAGAGAUAAAUUAUGCCCCAGAGGGCACGGGGUCGGGAGCCCUAGGGAAGAAAACACCAAGAAGCCUUUGACUGGUUUUACCAGAGUUUUAUAUUCCUGAUGUCUCUUUGUCUCCUGGUUGGCUCCCCAAGAGGAAAUGUCACCAGACGGCUGGAGGGAGGUCCGCAAGGCUAAAAUAAGGAAUUUAACUCACCUUUCUUGUAGAAUAAAUUUUCAGGUUCACUGAA